rnacentral:piRNA from 1 species
UAUUAUUUUUUUCUUCAAAACAGUAUACAGG